rnacentral:lncRNA from 1 species
UCAUCUGCCUCUUCCAAGACACUACCUGUGAAAACAGAAGAAGUGACAUCGAUCUCUAAAAUGGCGGUGGAUCCCAGCAACGACUCUUUCCCCUAAACUCUGUGUUCUAGAAAACACAGUUGCAUGAACCAUGGAAUUCUCAGAAACCUCUGAGAGGAGACAGUAUCGUUUUAUACUUGUGGAAAUGGCCACAAUCCUAUUCAUCUUACAGUUAUGGAGGACAGCCAUCCACAACAACUUUCCUGGGGUCUCCCUAUACAAUAUCUAACCUGGGCUG